CAUAGCUCUGUUCAGAAGAACACCUGAGGAAAAUGUGACGUUUGUUAUUUCCUUGCAGGAAAACUAAAAUAUGUGGAGGAUUCCAGUUGAAUGAGAAUUUUCAAGUCAAGAGUAAGAAAUGGCGUUCCUUGCUUUGAAAUCAUAUGUCAGACCAGAUAAGAAAAGAAAGCCCAAGGCACAGAAGUCUGCCAAUACUGAUGAUGUUGCUGACCUGUUAGCUUGGACGACCAUCCAGCCUUCCAUAAAAUAAACCCCUGAACUUGGUACCAAUGCUGAAGGAGAAUGGCAUCCCAAUGAUUCUGAAAAACAGGAAGAUGAUCAAAAGCAUUCCAGUGUCUGUGCCGCAUAAUUCCAGCAUACCCAUUGCCUUGAAGGAAACCUUGUGAGAAAACCCUAUAAUAGUUCUGUAGCAAAAAAUAAAUAAAUAAGUAAAGAAGCUGCACAUUCUCUCUCUCCUGUAAUCUAAGAAACAAUGUAGUUUUACUGCAUCCUCUCCAUUUGCUCUGACCCAGUUGCAGCUGGGUGGCAUUGACUGGGGAGCAACAUCUUUUGGCGCCUCACCAUCAGUACUGGUGCAUUAAACACUGUCUGCAACAUCUAGGCAAGAUGAUAGCCUAACACCUUUGCAAAGUUCUAAAGACAGUGAGUGCACAAAAUGUUUAGUCCACAGCACUGGAAAAAGAGAGAAGUUGGCAUUUUGCAAUGGAACAAUGGAGCAUAAUCCUCUUUGCACAGAUUUGAAAGAAAAUUAAUCAAAACCUGCUCCCAACCUCACAGUUCUCCUUAAGAGAUAGAAUUUUGUUGAAGAACUUUAAUCACUACAGUACAUCACAUCCUCAGAAUAAUGGUAUUGUAAAUGUUAGCUUGAAACCACUAAAAUAUCUGACCCCAGUGGAGCAGAAAAACGAGUGCUUUGCAGUUGAAAAAGCACUGCUUAGUAAACCUUCAGUUGUUGAAUGUUAGAAUGUUAGAGUGUAAAAGAAAAACUACCAAGUCAGAAAUCCUGUCAUAAACAGGUUGAAAAGCAUGCCUCUGUAAAAACUAGCACACAUCUCAUAAAACACGCAAGAGGUGAGAAAGAGCGACAUCAAAAAGUCUGUCAAAGUAAAGGAUGUAGAAAACCAACACCAUGUUAAUUCUACCAACCAAUCGAAAAUGAGUUCCCUGCCACUGAGUCAGUCAACCACACAUUGGUGGUAGCUAAAAACAUUAAGAAAAGUGUCUUUAAAAGAGUGUCUGCCACAAUUUGUGUUCCUCUAGCGAAGACCUCGACACAGAGAACACAAGUAUUGUAUAAAAACACUAGGCUCGAUCCAAAGUGAAACAAAAGUGAAAACAUAAAGCCAACCAAGAUGGCAAGUAAACCUUGUGCCAAAAAAGCGUUUUCACCCAUUCGGGCACCCCUUUUGCCCAAAAAGUUUUUAGGGCAAACUGCCAACAGCCCCACCUAGAAAAAUUAAAAGCUGCCAACUACAGAUGCUGAACCUGGAAAUUGAAAAGGAGAAGCAAAGGUUUCCCUCUGGGGUUAAACACUGUGGUAUAAGCAGCUGUUCCCAGAACCCUGUGCAUAAUUCUGGAGCUUGACACAGUGAAAGAGAUGACCCUAUCAUUUCAUUAAACAGUUUGUUACCUCUGGCAGAAAGGAUAAAUUUAGAUCUCAAAAUGAAUCGAUUAUGGUGUAGCAACUCAGGUUUUUGCAUGUCUUGUAUCAAUGUUUCAUAGAUUCCCUCAAAUUUAAGGCUAAAUUAUGCUGGCUGAGCACAAGAACAUUUUAGUCUCAGAAUUUAAAAACAGUAAGCUUGUAUUAUUCUCCUACCAGCCGUACCUGUAAUUUCCUUUGGAUGUCCACUUCUUCAGUGGUUUCAGUUGAAUUUGUUCAGUGAUUAUUGUGCAUUUUGGUUUUCCAUGUUUCUUUGAUACUGCUUUGUAGCCAUUUCCUUUGUUGUACUCUGAUACGAGUGAUUUUCUCAAACCUGAAUCCAGCUCCUUUGUCUUGACUAU